GAAAAAGGCGACAGAGGCGCUCAUGGCUCGUAUCCAUCAUCUUCAAAACACUCGAGGCAAAGAGCUAUCUGGUGUUCAAAUUACUGCCUACUUCCUUAGGAUUAGAGUGCAGCCUCUUCAGGCUCGCAAAAAUCCCCUUUGGACGUAUUCUGGUGAAAAUGACGCCAACAGAGUUUCCAGUGAUCUUUCUGUAAAGGACCUGGAAAAAUUGGUUCGAAGAAUUUCUCGAUUAGGCAAGAAGGAUCCUAUUCCCUCCUCCUGUCGAGUGGAACCAUACAGUGCUUCCAAUCCUCUUCCCGAGAAUCAUCCUACUAUGGCUUCCCUUCCUCCUCUUCCUGAGGAUGGAGAGGUCGAAGAAAGAGCCGUUGUCGAUGAUGACAACCAGGAGACCCCCUCUUUUGUUAAUGAACCCGCAGAUUCUCGAAAAUCUGCGGGAUCUACUGAGAAGGAUGCUGCCUCUGAAGGUACAACAUCAGCACAAUCUCCUCCUCCUGCUGUUUCUCCGAAGAGCAAAAGGAAAAGGAGCAAUGGCGAAGAUUCCGGGACCUCGAAACCCGAAGAAACUGCUCCUUUACCUCGAAAAGCAGCUUAUGAUCCAUACGUCGAGAGUAUCAUCAGCUCGUAGGUUCCUUGCUCUUUUCCUUUUCUAUUUGAAGAAUUUUAUUUUGCCUUGCUUUUUAUGCUGCCACUAUUUUGUCACAGUGAUGAUGAAGAAACACCAACUUUAGAUGUGGCUGCUCGAACGAGCACGUCACAUACUUUAGUUAUUUCAGAAAAACCAGUUGAAGGGGAGGAAUCGUCGCCUCCUCAACAAAAUGUUGAUACAUCUACUCCUCCUUCGAGCCCCCGUGCCCCUUCACCAAAAAGGGCACGGGUUGAAAAGAUUGUUGAUCCUGCCCCUCAGUUGGGCAGUUCGUCGACUCUGCUCUUAGAUGAUCCAAUGAUCAAAGAGCUUCUUCGGAUCGGGUCCCAAUUUGUUGGGUACCGUGAAUAUGCCGCCAGAGCCGAAG